UCAGACGAUGCGUCAUGCAUAUCAAUAAGCGGAGGAAAAGAAACUAACUAGGAUUCCCUCAGUAACGGCGAGUGAAGCGGGAAGAGCUCAAAUUUGAAAUCUUCAAGGUUCUACCUUGACGAAUUGUAGUUUAAAGAAGUGUUUUCUGUUGGAGUUUUGGUAAAAGUUCUUUGGAAUAGGACAUCAUAGAGGGUGAGAAUCCCGUAUUUGACCAUUAUUUCCAGCUUUGUGAUACACUUUCAAAGAGUCGGAUUGUUUGGGAAUGCAGUCCAAAAUGGGUGGUAAAUUUCAUCUAAAGCUAAAUAUUGGCGAGAGACCGAUAGCGAACAAGUACCGUGAGGGAAAGAUGGAAAGAACUUUGAAAAGAGAGUUAAACAGUACGUGAAAUUGUCAAAAGGGAAGCGUUUGACACCAGUGUUGUUUUCUCGAAAAUCAAUUAAAAAAGGCAGGAUUUUGUGUUGUAUUGACUUUAUCAGCUUUCUGCACUCUUUUCUUGUCUUUUUUUAAUGCACUUUUCGUUUAACAAGUCAACAUCAAUUUCUUUUGUUGUAAAAGGGUCAUUGGAAGGUGGCUUUCUUUUCGGAGAAAGUGUUUAUAGCCUUUGGCCUCUGCAAUCGGAGAGAUUGAGGUCUGCAGCGUAGAUCCUUCGGGGUUAGAUACAUUUGUGCUAAGUUAUAGCCUUUCAUAGACAACUUGUUGACUAUGAUCAGUCAUGUAGCUUACUCGCUUAUGCUAUUUUACCUACGCUUAGGAUGUUGAUCUACAGAGCGAGAGU
rnacentral:rRNA from 1 species